AGAGUUUGAUCCUGGCUCAGGACGAACGCUGGCGGCGUGCCUAACACAUGCAAGUCGAACGGGGUUAGCCCUUCGGGACUAACUUAGUGGCGAACGGGUGAGUAACGCGUGAAGAACCUGCCUUUCAGUGGGGGACAACAGUUGGAAACGACUGCUAAUACCGCAUGACACUUCUGAGUGGCAUCACUUAGAAGUCAAAGCUUUAUGUGCUGAAAGAUGGCUUCGCGUCUGAUUAGCUAGAUGGCGGGGUAACGGCCCACCAUGGCGACGAUCAGUAGCCGGUCUGAGAGGAUGAACGGCCACAUUGGGACUGAGAUACGGCCCAGACUCCUACGGGAGGCAGCAGUGGGGAAUAUUGGGCAAUGGAGGAAACCCUGACCCAGCAACGCCGCGUGAAGGAAGAAGGCCCUCGGGUUGUAAACUUCUUUUACCAGGGACGAAGGACGUGACGGUACCUGGAGAAAAAGCAACGGCUAACUACGUGCCAGCAGCCGCGGUAAUACGUAGGUUGCAAGCGUUGUCCGGAUUUACUGGGUGUAAAGGGCGUGUGGGCGGAGGAGCAAGUCAGAUGUGAAAUCCAUGGGCUUAACCCAUGAACUGCAUUUGAAACUGUUCCCCUUGAGUAUCGGAGAGGCAAGCGGAAUUCCUAGUGUAGCGGUGAAAUGCGUAGAUAUUAGGAGGAACACCAGUGGCGAAAGCGGCUUGCUGGACGACAACUGACGCUGAGGCGCGAAAGCGUGGGGAGCAAACAGGAUUAGAUACCCUGGUAGUCCACGCUGUAAACGAUGAAUACUAGGUGUGGGAGGACUGACCCCUUCCGUGCCGCAGUUAACACAAUAAGUAUUCCACCUGGGGAGUACGACCGCAAGGUUGAAACUCAAAGGAAUUGACGG
rnacentral:rRNA from 1 species